rnacentral:lncRNA from 1 species
UUGGAGCUGAUCGCCACCCUGUUAUGGCAGAUAUGGAAGUCUCGUAAUCGCUUCAUCUUUGUUCGACAGAGACCCGACCCCUUUCAGGUUGUUGCCCGCUCUCUUGAACAGGUUCGAACGGCCGCUGUAGCCGCAGCUUCUGUCCCCGGCAUCGGGUCAAACCGUCGGCAUCCCGAUCUCCGUACCCUAUGGAGGCCUCCAGAUCCGGGCGCUUUAAAGAUCAACAUCGACGGGGCUUAUCAACCAGGAAGCAUUAUAGGAUCAGUCGCUUAUAUUUGCCGCGACCACACCGGUAAGUUGAUUGAAGGAUUCACGAAGAUCGUACCUGCAGAUUCGGCAUUGAAGGUCGAGGCGGAAGCCCUGAAUAUUACUCUGCAUCAUCUGAUCAACACCAACGAAAAUAGGGUUUCUCUCAUCGAAUCUGAUUGUCUUCUCCUCGUUGAAGCGGUUCGGAAAACGGAUGCAUCUCCAUGGGAGAUCAGACCCUUGAUCACCGAAGCUGUAGCUUUCCUCUCGCGUCUUCCCCGUCUGUGUGUUCAAUUUUGCCCUAGAAAGGCUAAUUCAGCGGCAGAUUGGGCCGCGAAGGCCUGCAACAGUGGCUCUUUAUCUGAAACUUGGGCUUCGUCCCCUCCUGCUCCCUUGUUAGCUUUAUUAGCUUCUGAUAGUCGUCAAGCAGGUUGUAAUUUUCGGUUCAGCUAAUGCAAUGUUUCUUUCCGUC